rnacentral:rRNA from 1 species
GGGACGAACGCUGGCGGCGUGCUUAACACAUGCAAGUCGAGCGGAAAGGCCCUUCGGGGUACUCGAGCGGCGAACGGGUGAGUAACACGUGAGUAAUCUGCCCCUAGCUCUGGGAUAGCUCCGGGAAACCGGGAUUAAUACCAGAUACAACCACUUUAGACAUCUCUUGUGGUGGAAAGAAUUUCGGCUAGGGAUGAACUCGCGGCCUAUCAGCUUGUUGGUGAGGUAACGGCUCACCAAGGCGACGACGGGUA